GCUGGCGGCGUGCCUCAGACAUGCAAGUCGAACGCGAAAGUUCCCUUCGGGGAGCGAGUAGAGUGGCGCACGGGUGAGUAACACGUGGGUAAUUUACCUUCGGGUGGGGAAUAGCGGCUGGAAACGGCCAUUAAUACCGCAUAAUGCAGCGGCUCGACAUCGAGACAGUUGUUAAAGCGGGGGCUCCGCAAGGACCUCGCGCCUGAAGAAAAGCCCACGGCGGAUUAGCUAGUUGGUGGGGUAAUGGCUCACCAAGGCGACGAUCCGUAACCGGCCUGAGAGGGCGGUCGGUCACACUGACUCUGAACAACGGGUCAGACUCCUACGGGAGGCAGCAGUCGGGAAUUUUGGGCAAUGGGCGAAAGCCUGACCCAGCAACGCCGCGUGAAGGAUGAAAUCCCUCGGGAUGUAAACUUCGCAAGAACGGGAAGAAUAAGCGAGUGCUAACACCUCUCGCGAUGACGGUACCGUUUGUAAGCUCCGGCUAACUCCGUGCCAGCAGCCGCGGUAAUACGGNGGGAGCAAGC
rnacentral:rRNA from 1 species